GUGCAACUCAUCAGCAUCUCAAGAGAGUGGUUGAACUCUGCCAUCUGCGGCUGCGGCCAAUCCUCGGGCUGGAAGAAAGAGGAAGCUAUAUUGGAUGCAGGUGGUGGUGGAACAAAAGAGGAGGAUGUAGGGGUGGUGGAGGGGACGGAAGUUUGCACGGUCCUGAGCGGAGCCAUGCUCUAAUACCAGAUGAUAGGUUCACAAUUAUGAUGCAGAUUGAAUGAGAAAGAAAGCUAAAAUUCAUUCAUAAGUCUUCAUUGCCGAUUCUGGUCUUCUGUUACAAUAAAAGGAUUGAAGACUGAGUUCAAUCCUUGGCAAAAGAGGAAGAAGACAUGUGGCACAGGACCACUUCUUACAUCAGUUCUUGUUCUAUUCCUAUUACAUUAAGGAAACAUAAUUAUAAACGGCCAUACCUUGUUGCAGACUGAAUAUGGAUAUGAAGAGAGGUUGGAGAAAAAGGUGAUCGAACUCAUAAAUUUGUGAACGAGUAUAUAUGGAUUGCACAAGUAGUUGUGUAAAAACCGGGACAUUGGAUGAAUGUGACUGAACAACAGAGGUAUCUUUGCAUAUCCUCAACUGUUCCUUGAAAGGGAAGACGGUCCUCUUCUCUUGCCUAUGUUUUGUUAUACCCGGUUUAUCCAGGAAAUGUCUUAAGGAGUUUCUUCAUCUGCACUCGAGAAGCAAUUCAUUUGUUCUAAGUUUACCUAAAAAGAAAUCAUUUGCUUUUGAA